AACGAACGCUGGCGGCAGGCCUAACACAUGCAAGUCGAGCGAGACCUUCGGGUCUAGCGGCGGACGGGUGAGUAACGCGUGGGAAUAUGCCCUUUUCUACGGAAUAGCCUCGGGAAACUGAGAGUAAUACCGUAUACGCCCUUCGGGGGAAAGAUUUAUCGGAGAAGGAUUAGCCCGCGUUGGAUUAGGUAGUUGGUGGGGUAAUGGCCUACCAAGCCUACGAUCCAUAGCUGGUUUGAGAGGAUGAUCAGCCACACUGGGACUGAGACACGGCCCAGACUCCUACGGGAGGCAGCAGUGGGGAAUCUUAGACAAUGGGGGAAACCCUGAUCUAGCCAUGCCGCGUGAGUGAUGAAGGCCUUAGGGUUGUAAAGCUCUUUCAGCUGGGAAGAUAAUGACGGUACCAGCAGAAGAAGCCCCGGCUAAAUACGUGCCAGCAGCCGCAGUAA
rnacentral:rRNA from 1 species